rnacentral:rRNA from 1 species
CAAUAGCGUAUAUUAAAGUUGUUGCAGUUAAAAGCUCGUAGUUGGAUUUGUGGCGUACGGUGUGUUCCGGGCACUUGUUGUCUGAGUAACCUGCUGUUGCCAUCCUUGGGUGGAACCUGUGUGGCAUUAGGUUGUCGUGCAGGGGAUGCCCAUCAUUUACUGUGAAAAAAUUAGAGUGUUCAAAGCAGGCUUAUGCCGUUGAAUAUAUUAGCAUGGAAUAAUGAGAUAGGACUUUUUUGCUAUUUUGUUGGUUUGCGCAAGGAGGUAAUGAUUAAUAGGGACAGUUGGGGGUAUUCGUAUUCCAUUGUCAGAGGUGAAAUUCUUGGAUUUUUGGAAGACGAACUACUGCGAAAGCAUUUACCAAGGAUGUUUUCAUUAA